rnacentral:rRNA from 1 species
GCUUUAUACAUGCAAGUCGAACGAUGAAGUUCCUUCGGGAAUGGAUUAGUGGCGAACGGGUGAGGAACACGUGAGAAACCUGCCUUUCAUUCUGGGAUAACACCGGGAAACCGGUGCUAAUACCGGAUACUCCAUCUUGGCGGCAUCGCCGAGCUGGGAAAAAAUUUUGAUGAAAGAUGGUCUCGCGGCCUAUCAGCUAGUUGGUGAGGUAAAGGCUCACCAAGGCGACGACGGGUAGCCGGCCUGAGAGGGCGACCGGCCACACUGGGACUGAGACACGGCCCAGACUCCUACGGGAGGCAGCAGUAGGGAAUAUUGGGCAAUGGGCGAAAGCCUGACCCAGCGACGCCGCGUGAGGGAUGAAGGUCUUCGGAUUGUAAACCUCUUUCAGUAGGGAAGAAGCGAAAGUGACGGUACCUAAAGAAGAAGCACCGGCUAACUAUGUGCCAGCAGCCGCGGUAAUACAUAGGGUGCAAGCGUUGUCCGGAAUUAUUGGGCGUAAAGAGCUCGUAGGUCGUUUGUCGCGUCGAUUGUGAAAAUCUGAGGCUCAACCUCAGACCUGCAGUCGAUACGGGCAAACUAGAGUGUGGUAGGGGAGACUGGAAUUCCUGGUGUAGCGGUGGAAUGCGCAGAUAUCAGGAGGAACACCAAUGGCGAAGGCAGGUCUCUGGGCCAUAACUGACACUGAGGAGCGAAAGUGCGGGGAGCGAACAGGAUUAGAUACCCUGGUAGUCCGCACCGUAAACGGUGGGCACUAGUUGUGGGAA